rnacentral:rRNA from 1 species
CCCUAUGGGGCGCAGCAGUGGGGAAUAUUGGGCAAUGGGCGCAAGCCUGACCCAGCAACGCCGCGUGUGGGAAGACGGUCCUCUGGAUUGUAAACCACUGUCCCCAGGGACGAAGAAGACGGUACCUGGGGAGGAAGCUCCGGCUAACUACGUGCCAGCAGCCGCGGUAAUACGUAGGGAGCAAGCGUUGUCCGGAAUUACUGGGUGUAAAGGGAGCGUAGGCGGGAUGGCAAGUUGGGUGUUAAAUCUACCGGCUCAACUGGUAGUCGCACUCAAAACUGCUAUUCUUGAGUGAAGUAGAGGCA